rnacentral:sRNA from 1 species
GCUGGGCAUGGUGGCACAUGCCUCUAAUCCUAGAAGCUUUGGAGGCUGAGGCAAGAGGAUCACAAGUUCAAAGCCAGCCUCAGCAAUUUAGCAAGGCCCUGUGCAACUUAGUGAGACCCUGUAUCUA